rnacentral:rRNA from 1 species
UACGUAGGUGGCAAGCGUUGUCCGGAAUUAUUGGGCGUAAAGCGCGCGCAGGCGGUCUGUCGCGUCUGCUGUGAAAAUCCGGGGCUCAACCCCGGACUUGCAGUGGGUACGGGCAGACUAGAGUGUGGUAGGGGAGACUGGAAUUCCUGGUGUAGCGGUGAAAUGCGCAGAUAUCAGGAGGAACACCGAUGGCGAAGGCAGGUCUCUGGGCCACUACUGACGCUGAGAAGCGAAAGCAUGGGGAGCGAACAGG